AAAAAGGAACAAUCAUGUCAACAUCUACGUCCUUGAGUGCGCGAGAAAAAGGAAACGACUUCUUUAAAAAGGCAGGAGUCGAGGGUCUUGCACCAAUCUUACAAGAAGCUAGGCUGUUAGACGCUCUGAAAAGCUAUAAUCAAGCUAACCAACUCGCUCGCUCCGACUCAGAGCUUGCUUCUGCUUUUAAAAACAUCGCUAUUACCAACUUUAAAUUGGCCCAGAUCUCGUUAGGGAAGCUAAACAAGGAAAACAAAGCAAUCGCCCAUCACUACCAACAGUCUAUAAGGUACUUCAAUGGGGCGUUCAGGGCUGGUGAGACCUGCAAAGACUUUAACUGGCGCUCUCAUAUUCUGUCAUCGCUCGCUGAAUGUCUUGAGGAGUCCAUUGCUUGGACCGACGACUUGAAAUCUUACGAAGAAAGGUUGCAGACACUACAAUUCCUUGGCCAAGAUCUAACUAUACCACAGAUAGCUGUCGAGUUUCAGCUAAAGCAAGCGAAAUUUAUAUUUCAUGAUGGAGCAAUGGAGCUGCAAUCCGGCGAUUAUAAAAUAUGCUUAUCACGCAUGAAAGAUUGCUAUUUCCACCUCGAGGAAGCCAAACGAUUACAGCACAACUCCUCUGAUAUCGACCGAAACCAAGAAAUCGCAGUCUUAGAACAAGAUAUCAUUUACUUAAGAACCACAGCAGAGUCCAUGCAAGCGCGAGAGCACGGGAAUCAGCUACUGGAGAUUGCCGUCAAAGAGGAGGAGGAGUUAAACAUGGAUUUGAUCUGGGAUGUGAUAGAUUGGUUUAAACAAGCCACCAUUUUCGCGCGCGAGUUGGAUCUCGAGCAGGAAGCGAUCGCACUCAGCAGACUGGGUUAUGUCUACGAUCAGAUCAUCAAGCAAGAAUCCAAAGCAAAGACGUAUUUCAUGCGAGCGCUUCAGUUGGCCGACUCGCUCAAGCCUCGCACAUUUGCAACUGAAGCUUGGUUUGUUUGUUGUGUUACAACGCUUAAAAGAUAUCAAGACGAGGUUCGUCAAAGAGAAGAAAAAGAAUAUCUUGACAGCAAAAAGCCUGUUUUGGAGGAGCUUAAAGAAGAGCUUGCAGAACUAGAUGAACACGAAAAUGGGACAGAUCUCGGGCUACUCAAAUUCGUCUACACGAAAUACCCCCCAAAAGCCAGAGCCUGGAAGAAGCCAGAAGAUAUGGAUAAGUGGGAGACUGAAGAGAUUGAAAUUGGACACGAGCAACUGAAAAGCCUUCUGCGGCGGGCAGUCCUCGUGUACCAUCCAGAUACAGUCGACGAAGCAAAACAUGGCAAGAAGUGGAAGGUGCUAUCAGAGGAGAUAGCAAAGCACUUGACUCAAAGAUACGAACGUCUGAAAUGAAAUUCAUUGAUAGACUUUCCACAUGAUUUUAACAUAUUUGCUCAGUUGACAGAACAAAUGAGCUAAAACUAUCUUUUAAUUGCAGGUAAAACUUAAAUUGCAGAUAAAACAGUCCUGAAAUAUUGGAUUUCUUUAAGAGGUUCAACAUUCGCUAGUCCAAGAACGGGAACCGUGUAGUCCUCGACCAACGAGACCAGAAGUUGACGGUCUUUCUCUUCAGCGAGCAAGGACACUAUUGCACUCAUAUUUUUCUCCAGAAAUUCACUACGAAGCCUCGAAAAGCAAAUCCCAGGGGGCUGUCGUGGAUCCCAUCUAAAGACUACAGCCUCCAGUACAACACUUGGAUGAAGGGAGCUGUUUCCAUUUACAAAAUUCAAAAUUGAGACAAACUCAGUUUCAAGCUCAGCGGGCGCUGAUUUGUCAAGCAACAAGCCAACCUUAAGCGAAGAUGAAUUUGAAACAUGAAGGACGACACCGGAAAAUACCAUGGCCACUUGCCAUAAGUGAGAAUCAAUUAGAUGAAAUCGAAAGCUUUUCCUCAAACCCAUAUCUCCAGCCUUCAAAGUGUCAACCGUAUUAUUAUUAUUACAUGUUUUAGUUACACUACCAGCCAACUUGAAAUGCAUCAAGUGAAAUCCACUUCAGCACGGCAUUUUCUUUUCACUGAUUGCGUCAAAAAGCCAACCAAAUUAUUGAACUUUGGCGGAUACCUCGGUGUCUCGUGAUUUUCUUAUCAGGCCGGUAGUAUUUAGUUAUACCCUUACGAAUAUUGAAAGCUAUAUUUAGGCAAUUUAGAUCAUACUGGCAAAUGAGACAGUUUGAGACUGUCAAUAAGAAAACAGCUGAUUAAAAAUGGAAUAUCUGAAUGAUAUAAAAUGAAUUCAUGUUCGAAAAACAAUUAUCAGUUUUCGUUUCUGUUUCGUUCUUAUCUUUCGAUCGAUCAAUUUCCUUAUAAAAAAACUUAUUUAGAAUCAACAAUCGUUUUGCUGUAUUUGAUUUUAGAUUAAUUUACAUCAUCAUAGAACUUAACAUUAAAGUCUUAUAAUCGUUUACCCGUAGCACUAUUAGGGUAAUAAAAAAUAUUUAUCAGAAUCCAGAUGUACCGAAGAUCAUAUAAAAAAAACUCAAAUUAAUUUUAUAGAUGCAAUUUAAUACAUUGGUGUCAUUUUUCAUGGAAACCCGACGGUAAAAGGAAACUAGGAGGACCCAGGACAACUUGGAGGCAGUCGGUGGGAAGAGAGAGAAAAGGGGCGGGAUGGAAAUCUGGAGAAGGCAAGAGUAAUAGCUCACGAUAGAACCAAAGGUAAGAAAAGUAGUAAGACCUUAUGCGCAACUGAGCGCGAAGAGGAUAGGUGAGGUGCCAUUUUAUUUUCAAAAACAGCUGACAAUGCAGCCCCCGCCUAAUAUCAAUCCGAUAACCUGUGAAGUAACAUAAUGCCAUCUUCAUAAUAUCAAUCCGAUAACCUGUGAAGUAACAUAAUGCUAUAUUCAUAAUAUCAAUCCGAUAACCUGUAAAGUAAGGUAAUGCUAUAUUCAUAAUAUCAAUCCGAUAACCUGUAAAGUAAGGUAAUGCUAUAUUCAUAAUAUCAAUCCGAUAACCUGUAAAGUAAGGUAAUGCCAUAUUCUUAUCAUCUCUUGUAUUUUAAUUCACCUAGAAAGUUAUAAUGCGGCUUACGUUUGACUCACCUACCACUAGCGUUAAGCCCCGUGCAAACUGCGCCAGCACCUGGCAGCAUUGCUGACUAUAGGACAAAGGAAAUGUCAAAAUGGGAAAUGGACUUUGUGACAAUUCCCUUUGUCUUAUGGUCAAUCGAGCAAGAAUUCGCUAGCAGUGCUGAACGGUGCUUGCGCAGUUUGCACGGGGCAUUACGUCAACUUACUAGAAAUACGCAGUACCCUCAAUACAACGAGUAUACUUAUGGUUCCAUUUAAUCCGAAAAUCCCAGUCUACUCAACAGAAGCAGCUUUAUUAUACAGAAGUAUUAUUUAAACCAGCAGGAUAUCAUUUCCAUUUCUCAAACUUGAAAAAUUAAAACGAGCGGGACGUGCUUAGAGAUGACUGAUACAAGCGACACAGCGCGCGGGUGAUUGAAUUGACGCUCAUCCAAGGCGACUGAAAGGACUGGAACGAAUAUGCCGAGAACCCGUCGCCAUACGACGCACCUUAGUGUUGCGAAGGAGAAUUGAAAAAUCACCUUGCACUUUAUUUAGGGUUAUUUUUGCGAUAAUCGACGAAAAAUAUAUUUAUGCAAAAUAAGUGAGAUCUUUUACAGCUGGCUUCGUGGUAUUUAAGACCAGCCGUCUCAGUCCGUCAAGAUUUCUCGGAAAAAUGAACUUUCGGCGCCCUAUCUCAAAAUUAAACUGGUAAUAGGUAUGGGUGACCUCAGUAUCCUGUGAAAGUUUAAAGCAAUUUGGAUAAAUAUUUUUGGCGAUAGAAGCCAAAAAGUAAUUUUUCGUCUCCCGCACCCGGAUUUGAGACAAUUUUUGGGUUGUCACAAAAAGCCUUAAAAUCAAAUCGCAAAGCGCGAUAAAACAACUGCCGCUUGAAUAAACCUAAAGCAUAGAUAAUAAAGAACUCCCAGGCUGAAAGAUAAGCUGUUCUGUCAGCACCUUAUUAUUUUAGGUGAUUUUAUUUUAUUUUAUGUUUUUAGAUGACUUUGAAAAGCCUUAAAAUAAUCGUGAAAUAUCGCCGAUGAGAUGUGGAUUUGGCAAAAAUGAUUGCAUUCAUCGAAAAGAGCAUCAUUUUGGCUUUCGAUAUGUGGAAUAAAAUUUAGGGGCAAAUAAAAUCUGACUUUUUUACAAGCCGAAAUAUAACCCCCAUUUGACCCUAAUUAUAAACAAAUGCCUUCUACUGUAUCGGGUUUCCCGCAUUCAAACACCGCCUCCAAAACACCAGGAAAAAAAAGAAAGCUCAAUUAAAAA